GCCGCGUGUGUGAAGAAGGCCUUAGGGUUGUAAAGCACUUUCAGUCGUGACGAUGAUGACGGUAACGACAGAAGAAGCCCCGGCUAACUCCGUGCCAGCAGCCGCGGUAAUACGGAGGGGGCAAGCGUUGUUCGGAAUUACUGGGCGUAAAGGGCGCGUAGGCGGCCAAGUCAGUCAGGCGUGAAAGCCCAGGGCUCAACCCUGGAAUUGCGCUUGAUACUGCUUGGCUCGAGACCGGAAGAGGGUAGUGGAAUUC
rnacentral:rRNA from 1 species